rnacentral:rRNA from 1 species
AUGAACGCUGGCGGCGUGCCUUAAGCAUGCAAGUGGAACGGGUUAAUCGCAAGAUUGACCAGUCGCAAACGGGUGAGUAACACGUAGGGAUCUACCCUUUGGUCGAGAAUAACCCGCCGAAAGGUGGGGUAAUACUGGAUAAGUUCGUAAGAAGAAAGGCCGUAACUGGCCACCGAAGGAGGAACCUGCGUCCUAUCAGCUAGUUGGUGGGGUAAAAGCCUACCAAGGCUAUGACGGGUAGCUGGACUGAGAGGUCGGUCAGCCACAAGGGCACUGAGACACGGGCCCUACACCUACGGGUGGCAGCAACUGGGAAUCGUUCGCAAUGGGGGAAACCCUGACGACGCGACGCCGCGUGGAGGAUGAAGGUUUUCGGAUCGUAAACUCCUUUUGUUCGAUAUAGUGUCGAAAGAAUAAGCACCCACUAACUACGU